UAGAAACAUAUAUAUUAAUUUUUACAUAAUUCAAUAAUGAAAAAUAAUUUACUUUUAAAGUUUUUUUACCAUAAUUUGCAUUUUCACAAGAUUCAUUAGGCUAUAUAUAGAUGAUAUAGAGACUAUUCAAAAGGAUUAAUCAGACUAAAUCAAACUUGAUAAAGGAAACAAAAUCAAAGAAAAAAUUAAUCAAAUCAAACCAAAUCAAAUCAAAUAAAAUCAAACCAAAUGAAAGAACCCAGAAUCAAAAUGCAAAUAGACACCACCGAAACUGUCUAGUCACCGCUCAACCACCCACCGCCAACAAGCGAUUGCAUCCCCUCCAUCACAGAAUCGAGGACCACACAAGCCAAUGAUGGAAUCCAUAGAGAAGACAGCCAAUAUAGAAGAAAGUAAUAAACAACAACAUGCAAACACAAUCGACCAGAAGAAUAGCAUCCGUGCUUCGAUCCACACCGAUAGGGAGAGACGCAACAAAGCGUAGCCAUUGUCUAACAGUCAACAGGAGCCGUAUCAUCGAACGUAAUGGUGUAGUCCUAUGUUACCAACAUCAAGUCUCAAUAGAUCUCUUCAAAAGCCGGAUCAAAACACUCUCAGACUAGAUUCAUAAAACUUUCCUCGCUGGACCUAAAAAACAAAAUCAGAAAAAUAACAACUUCUACCUCUACCUACGGUGAGGAAAGAUCGAGGGUAGAGAUCCACCAGAAAUAAAGCAAACAAAGGAGAAGUAAACUUUUCCUUGCUCGAAGGCAGGGAAAGGAUACCAAUGAAUCAAACAAAAUACGAAAAAACUACCGAUAAAAAUUCAGAUAAAACGACAACAUCAAAAGCACAAUUGAAUCUCCUUUUGAAUAGUUACCCUAAAUAGGGAAAGAAUACCAAUGAAUGAAACAAAAUACGAAAAAUCUAUCGAUAAAAAUUCAGAUAAAACGACAACAUUAAAAGCACAACCGAAUCUCCUUUCGAAUAGCUACCCUCAUACUCCGCGCACACUCUGAUGAUGCUGACGAUCGACAAAACCUUUCUCUUCCCCUUCCUCUCAUUUUCACUCACUUCUUC
rnacentral:lncRNA from 1 species